AUUGAACGCUGGCGGCAUGCCUUACACAUGCAAGUCGAACGGUAACGGGCCUUCGGGUGCCGACGAGUGGCGAACGGGUGAGUAAUGUAUCGGAACGUACCUUUCAGUGGGGGAUAACGUAGCGAAAGUUACGCUAAUACCGCAUAUUCUGUGAGCAGGAAAGCAGGGGAUCGCAAGACCUUGCGCUGAUUGAGCGGCCGAUAUCAGAUUAGCUAGUUGGUGAGGUAAAGGCUCACCAAGGCGACGAUCUGUAGCGGGUCUGAGAGGAUGAUCCGCCACACUGGAACUGAGACACGGUCCAGACUCCUACGGGAGGCAGCAGUGGGGAAUUUUGGACAAUGGGGGCAACCCUGAUCCAGCCAUGCCGCGUGAGUGAAGAAGGCCUUCGGUUGUAAAGCUCUUUCGUCCGGGAAAAAUACGCAUCAGUUAAUACCUGGUGUGGAUGAUGGUACCGGAAUAAGAAGCACCGGCUAACUACGUGCCAGCAGCCGCGGUAA
rnacentral:rRNA from 1 species